rnacentral:misc_RNA from 1 species
GAUGAAGAACGUAGCGAAAUGUGAUAAGUAAUGUGAAUUGCAGAAUUCAGUGAAUCAUCGAAUCUUUGAACGCACAUUGCGCCCCUUGGUAUUCCGAGGGGCAUGCCUGUUCGAGCGUCAUUAUAACCCCUCAAGCUCAGCUUGGUGUUGGGGCCUGCUGCACUGGCAGCCCUUAAAAUCAGUGGCGGCGCCAUCUGGCUCUAAGCGUAGUAAUUCUUCUCGCUAUGGAGUCCUGGUGGAUGCUUGCCAUCAACCCCCAAUUUUUCUAUUGUUGACCUCGGAUCAGGUAGGGAUACCCGCUGAACUUAAGCAUAUCAAUAAGCGGAGGA